rnacentral:rRNA from 1 species
UACAAAUAGUGGCAAGCGUUAUUCAUCUUUAUUGGGCGUAAAGGGUAUGUAGGUGGCUUUUUUAACUAGAUCUGAAAUGCUAGAAUUUAAAAUUUAGAAGGAGGUUCUAAAGAUUAAUUUGCUAUAGAGUUAAGGGGAGGUUAAAAGAAUUUUUCAUUUAGUCAGUGGGGUAAAAUCUCAAAUUGAAAAGGACUACCAAAGGCGAAGGCAUUUUUCCAUUCUUAACUGACACUGAGGUACGAAAGCUUAGGUAAUCAAACGG